UACGUAGGGUGCGAGCGUUAAUCGGAAUUACUGGGCGUAAAGCGUGCGUAGGCGGUUCGUUAAGUUCGUUGUGAAAGCCCCGGGCUCAACCUGGGAAUGGCAAUGGAAACUGGCGGGCUGGAGUAUGGCAGAGGGGGGUGGAAUUCCGCGUGUAGCAGUGAAAUGCGUAGAGAUGUGGAGGAAUACCGAUGGCGAAGGCAGCCCCCUGGGCCAAUACUGACGCUCAUGCACGAAAGCGUGGGGAGCAAACAGG
rnacentral:rRNA from 1 species